rnacentral:rRNA from 1 species
AGUGAACGCUGGCGGCAGGCCUAACACAUGCAAGUCGAGCGGCAGCGCGGGGCAACCCUGGCGGCGAGCGGCGGACGGGUGAGGAAUGCAUCGGAAUCUGCCUCGUUGUGGGGGAUAACGUAGGGAAACUUACGCUAAUACCGCAUACGACCGAGAGGUGAAAGUGGGGGACCGCAAGGCCUCACGCGAUGAGAUGAGCC